rnacentral:rRNA from 1 species
AGCAGUGGGGAAUAUUGGACAAUGGGCGAAAGCCUGAUCCAGCCAUGCCGCGUGAGUGAUGACGGCCUUAGGGUUGUAAAGCUCUUUCGCACGCGACGAUAAUGACGGUAGCGUGAGAAGAAGCCCCGGCUAACUUCGUGCCAGCAGCCGCGGUAAUACGAAGGGGGCUAGCGUUGUUCGGAAUCACUGGGCGUAAAGGGUGCGUAGGCGGAUUUUUAAGUCAGGGGUGAAAUCCCGAGGCUCAACCUCGGAACUGCCUUUGAUACUGGGGAUCUUGAGUCCGGAAGAGGUGAGUGGAACUGCGAGUGUAGAGGUGAAAUUCGUAGAUAUUCGCAAGAACACCGGUGGCGAAGGCGGCUCACUGGUCCGGAACUGACGCUGAGG